rnacentral:rRNA from 1 species
CAGUUGAGCGGAGAAUAUGGAGCUUGCUUUAUAUAACUUAGCAGCGAACGGGUGAGUAACACGUAGAUAAUCUAUCCUAUACUGGGGGAUAGCCCGAUGAAAGUUGGAUUAAUACCGCAUAUAGCUAUAUAGUUGCAUGAUUAUGUAGUGAAAGAUUUAUUGGUAUAGGAGGAGUCUGCGGCACAUUAGCUAGUAGGUGAGGUAAAGGCUUACCUAGGCGACGAUGUGUAGCCGGUCUGAGAGGAUGAACGGCCACAAUGGAACUGAGACACGGUCCAUACUCCUACGGGAGGCAGCAGUGGGGAAUAUUGCACAAUGGGGGAAACCCUGAUGCAGCAACGCCGCGUGAGUGAAGAAGGUUUUCGGAUUGUAAAGCUCUGUUAGCAGAGAAGAGGAAGGACGGUACCUGCAGAGGAAGCCACGGCUAACUACGUGCCAGCAGCCGCGGUAAUACGUAGGUGGCAAGCGUUGUUCGGAAUAACUGGGCGUAAAGGAUGCGUAGGCGGUUAAACAAGUUAUAUGUUAAAUAUAUAGGCUUAACCUGUAGAAAGCAUAUAAAACUGUUUAACUAGAGUGCAGGAGAGGUAAGUGGAAUUCCUAGUGUAGCGGUGAAAUGCGUAGAGAUUAGGAAGAACACCAGUGGCGAAGGCGACUUACUGGACUGUAACUGACGCUGAGGCAUGAGAGCAUGGGGAGCAAACAGGAUUAGAUACCCUGGUAGUCCAUGCUGUANACGAUGGGUACUANGUGUGGGUUGUGAAUAAC